rnacentral:rRNA from 1 species
UACGUAGGGUCCGAGCGUUGUCCGGAUUUAUUGGGCGUAAAGAGCGUGUAGGCGGCCAGGUAGGUCUGGUGUGAAAACUCGAGGCUUAACCUUGAGAUGUCAUCGGAAACCAUUUGGCUAGAGUCCGGAAGAGGAAAGUGGAAUUCCUGGUGUAGCGGUGAAAUGCGCAGAUAUCAGGAAGAACACCAAUGGCGAAAGCAGCUUUCUGGGACGGUACUGACGCUGAGACGCGAAAGCGUGGGGAGCGAACAGG